GGUGAACGCUGGCGGUAUGCCUUACACAUGCAAGUCGAACGGUAACAGGUCUUCGGAUGCUGACGAGUGGCGAACGGGUGAGUAAUACAUCGGAACGUGCCUAGUAGUGGGGGAUAACUACUCGAAAGAGUGGCUAAUACCGCAUGAGAUCUACGGAUGAAAGCAGGGGAUCGCAAGAACUUGUGCUACUAGAGCGGCCGAUGGCAGAUUAGGUAGUUGGCGGGAUAAAAGCUUACCAAGCCGACGAUCUGUAGCUGGUCUGAGAGGACGAUCAGCCACACUGGGACUGAGACACGGCCCAGACUCCUACGGGAGGCAGCAGUGGGGAAUUUUGGACAAUGGGCGCAAGCCUGAUCCAGCAAUGCCGCGUGCAGGAUGAAGGCCUUCGGGUUGUAAACUGCUUUUGUACGGAACGAAAAGCCCUGGGUUAAUACCCUGGGGUCAUGACGGUACCGUAAGAAUAAGCACCGGCUAACUACGUGCCAGCCGCCGCCGUAA
rnacentral:rRNA from 1 species